GAUGAAGAACGUAGCGAAAUGCGAUAAGUAAUGUGAAUUGCAGAAUUCAGUGAAUCAUCGAAUCUUUGAACGCACAUUGCGCCCGCCGGUAUUCCGGCGGGCAUGCCUGUUCGAGCGUCAUUUCACCACUCAAGCCCAGCUUGGUGUUGGGGCACCCGGCCGCCCGGCGGUCGGGGCCCCCAAGUACAUCGGCGGUCUCGCUAGGACCCUGAGCGCAGUAACUCGCGGUAAAACGCGCCUCGCUCGGAGGUUCCCGGCGGGCUUCCAGCCGCUAAACCCCCUAAUCUUCUUAGGUUGACCUCGGAUCAGGUAGGAAUACCCGCUGAACUUAAGCAUAUCAAUAAGCGGAGGA
rnacentral:misc_RNA from 1 species